rnacentral:rRNA from 1 species
UACGGGGGGGGCAAGCGUUGUUCGGAAUUACUGGGCGUAAAGGGCUCGUAGGCGGCCAACUAAGUCAGACGUGAAAUCCCUCGGCUUAACCGGGGAACUGCAUCUGAUACUGGAUGGCUUGAGAUUGGGAGAGGGAUGCGGAAUUCCAGGUGUAGCGGUGAAAUGCGUAGAUAUCUGGAGGAAUACCGGUGGCGAAGGCGGCAUCCUGGACCGGCAUUGACGCUGAUGAGCGAAAGCUAGGGGAGCAAACGGG